CCUACGGGGGGCAGCAGUGAGGAAUAUUGGUCAAUGGUCGGGAGACUGAACCAGCCAAGCCGCGUGAGGGAGGAAGGUACAGAGUAUCGUAAACCUCUUUUGUCAGGGAACAAAGACUGGGACGCGUCCCCGGAGGAGUGUACCUGAAGAAAAAGCAUCGGCUAAAUCCGUGCCAGCAGCCGCGGUAAUACGGAGGAUGCGAGCGUUAUCCGGAUUUAUUGGGGUUAAAGGGUGCGCAGGCGGUCUGUUAAGUCAGCGGUCAAAGCACGGGGCUCAACCCCGGCCCGCCGUUGAAACUGGCAGUCUCGAGUUGGAGAGAAGUAUGCGGAAUGCGCGGUGUAGCGGUGAAAUGCAUAGAUAUCGCGCAGAUCUCCGAUUGCGAAGGCAGCAUGCCGGCUCCACACUGACGCUGAGGCACGAAAGCGUGGGUAUCGAACAGGAUUAGAUACCCUUGUAGUC
rnacentral:rRNA from 1 species